AAUAAAAAUAAUAAAAUGUUAUAUGUUUUGCUAAUAAAGUUUGUUGUGCUUUGAACAGUCACCUGCUUGUGACAUCAUACAAAGAUACAGCACAGUACUUAUAUUAAUCGUAGAUUUGCUAUAUAUUGAACAAAAACAGGACCAACAUGACAACUUACUAUGAGAACCUUAGGGAAAAAAAUCACAGCAGAUUUAAAGUCGGAAUA